rnacentral:rRNA from 1 species
AGAGCUUGCUCUUUAUGAAAUCCAGUGGCAAACGGGUGAGUAACACGUAAACAACCUGCCUUCAGGAUGGGGACAACAGACGGAAACGACUGCUAAUACCGAAUACGAUUCUUGAGUCGCAUGACACAAGAAAGAAAGGGUGGCCUCUACUUGUAAGCUAUCGCCUGGAGAGGGGUUUGCGUCCGAUUAGGUAGUUGGUGAGGUAACGGCCCACCAAGCCGACGAUCGGUAGCCGGUCUGAGAGGAUGAACGGCCACAUUGGAACUGAGACACGGUCCAGACUCCUACGGGAGGCAGCAGUGGGGAAUCUUCCGCAAUGGGCGAAAGCCUGACGGAGCAACGCCGCGUGAGUGAAGACGGCCUUCGGGUUGUAAAACUCUGUGAUUCGGGACGAAAGAUAAGCAGACGAAUAAUCUGCAUAAGUGACGGUACCGAAAAAGCAAGCCACGGCUAACUACGUGCCAGCAGCCGCGGUAAUACGUAGGUGGCAAGCGUUGUCCGGAAUUAUUGGGCGUAAAGCGCGCGCAGGCGGCUACUUAAGUCCAUCUUAAAAGUGCGGGGCUUAACCCCGUGAUGGGAUGGAAACUGAGAAGCUGGAGUGUCGGAGAGGAAAGUGGAAUUCCUAGUGUAGCGGUGAAAUGCGUAGAGAUUAGGAAGAACACCGGUGGCGAAGGCGACUUUCUGGACGACAACUGACGCUUAGGCGCGAAAGCGUGGGGAGCAAACAGGAUUAGAUACCCUGGUAGUCCACGCCGUAAACGAUGGAUACUAGGUGUAGGAGGUAUCGACCCCUUCUGUGCC